rnacentral:tRNA from 1 species
GCGCCCGUAGCUCAGUGGAUUAGAGGCGUCCAUUGCGAAGGAUGAGGUCGCCGGUUCGAGUCCGGUCGGGCGCGCCA